rnacentral:rRNA from 1 species
UACAGAGGUCCCAAGCGUUGUUCGGAUUCAUUGGGCGUAAAGGGUGCGUAGGCGGCGUCAUAAGUCGGAUGUGAAAUCCCGGGGCUCAACCCUGGAACUGCAUUCGAUACUGUGGUGCUAGAGGACUCUAGAGGAAAUUGGAAUUCACGGUGUAGCAGUGAAAUGCGUAGAUAUCGUGAGGAAGACCAGUGGCGAAGGCGGAUUUCUGGAGAGUUCCUGACGCUGAGGCACGAAGGCCAGGGGAGCAAACGGG